rnacentral:sRNA from 1 species
AAAAUUAAUAACUCUUGUGUGAACUCUUCAAAAAGCUAAAGAAUAAAAAUUCACGUCUCUUUAAAAAUUCAAGAGCAGCUUUAAAAUCACGAAAAAAAAUAUUAAAUAAAGAUAUCACUGAGAAAUCUACGCUUAACAAUCAAUCUUCAAUCUCAAAAACAAAAACAAAAACCUACGCAUAUCCGCUGACUAAAACUUAAUUGAACAACUCUUCAGAGAAUCUCUUCUGCGUAAUUUCGAAAAAAAAAACUUUCAAGUGGUAUUUAAUCCCAUUUGGUCCAAACCAAACCAUCACAUCCUAUAUCCAAAACCAAACUUUUCCUUUCCUCUGAAUCAAAAUUUCAUAAACGACAUUUAUACGAAUUAUAAGAAAAAGAAUUACAACAAAUCGUUGCUUGGCCAUUAGCGAAGAAAAAUUUAGGAGAAUUAAAAAAAAAAAAACAUAUAUAGGACAAUUUUGAAAAAAAAAGAGAAUUCUUUGAGAGAGAGUAGAAAGAAGGAAACAAAGAGUUAAUAUUUUGCCAAAAACAAAAAAGUUAAAGAAAGAGAUUGUGCAAUAUAUAUUUAUAGCUGGAAGAUAUAUAGUAGAAACCAAAACCAAGGUUGUUGUUAUCCAAAGAAAAUACAAAAUAAUUUUAACAAAUUAAAUCCCUCACAAAGGCAAUUAUCGUAAAACAAAAACAAGCAAAGGUUGUUGAGAGCGUUUUUAAAAUACAGUAAUCAAACAGAUUUUAACUAACGCCCGCCCGCCCCCUUACACCCACAUACAUUUUACCUUAAGAAAGAAGAAAGCCAAAAACCCAGAAGAAAUCUCCAGGCAAUUUUUAGCAAUCUUAAAACAAAGCAAGAAAUCAAGAAUUCAAUAUUCAAAAAAGCA